GACGAACGCUGGCGGCGUGCUUAACACAUGCAAGUCGAACGGUAAGCCAGUGAGCUUGUGCCCUCCGGGACUGGGGCAAGCGGGUGAAUAACGCGUGUAACCUCUCCUCCACUUUCGGGGAUAAUCAGGUAAAUGGACGUAUAAUACCAUAGACGACCCGGCAGGGCGGCCGGUCCUGGAUAGUUUAACCGGGUGGGGAUGGAUGCGCGGCUCAUAAGCUCGUUGGUGGGGUAGCGGCUGACCCAGGCGUGGCCGGGUAGCCGGCCUGAGAGGGUGACCGGCCACAAUGGGACUGAGAGACGGCCCAGACUCCUACGGGAGGCAGCAGUGGGGAAUAUUGCACAAUGGGCGGAAGCCUGAUGCAGCAACGCCGCGUGCGGGAUGACGGCCUUCGGGUUGUAAACCGCUUUCGGCUGUGACGAAGCGAGAGUGACGGUACCGGAAGAAGAAGCACCGGCUAACUACGUG
rnacentral:rRNA from 1 species